rnacentral:rRNA from 1 species
GUUGAACGCUGGCGGCGUGCCUAAUACAUGCAAGUCGAGCGGAUGAAGGGGGCUUUUGCCUGUAUUCAGCUGGCGGCGGGCGGGUGAGUCCUACGAGGCUGCCUUGCAUAUGAGAAUAGCGUCCGUUAACGGGCGCGAAUAUCGCAUACGUCCAUAUAUUGAACGGGGGGGUUCAUCGGAGAUCACGCUAUCAGAUGAGCCUAGUUCGUAUUAGCUAGUUGGUGGGGUAACGGCCUACCAAGGCGACGAUCCGUAACUGCGCUGAGAGGAUGAUCAGUCACACUGGAACUGAGACACGGUCCAGACUCCUACGGGAGGCAGCAGUGGGGAAUAUUGGACAAUGGGCGAAAGCCUGAUCCAGCCAUGCCGCGUGUGUGAAGAAGGUCUUCGGAUUGUAAAGCACUUUAAGUUGGGAGGAAGGGCAGUAAGUUAAUACCUUGCUGUUUUGACGUUACCAACAGAAUAAGCACCGGCUAACUUCGUG